rnacentral:lncRNA from 10 species
AUUAAAAUGCUCAGGCACAAUGUUGGUAUUCUUUCCUCCAUUCAUAGCCACCCUCCCACUCCACUAUCAUGUUAAUAAAUGAAAACACUGAUAUAUUACCAUACACUAAGAAUUUUACAUACAUUAACUCAUUGAAUCUUCUUAAUAAUGUUAUGAGGUAGAUGUUCUAUUUACCCCAGUUGAGUUAGAUGAAGGACGUGAAGCACCAGCAAGUUAACUGAGCUACCCUAAGUUACAGGGGCUCAUAAGCAGUUAGGAUCAGAACACAGAACAGAGUAGCUUCAUGGCUGUGCACAAUACCCUGCACCGUCCCACCCUGACUCCUAGCCAUGUUUGAUGACAAAAUGUCAAAUCUUGCUCUUUGUGCAUAAUUUGCCUGAAGAUACAGAGAAAUUAUCCUGCCUCCACCCCAUACUCUUCACCCGGUCACAUUUGCCAGCUCAUGGGCCUAGAAAAGCAAUCUUCAGCUCUUUCCGAGUAAAGCAGGCUAAUAGAGCAAGCCUGCAGCCUGAAAAAAUUUGAUUUCACUCUUAAUAACAUACUUAAUUACAUUACAAAUCUAACAUUUUAUUUGACUCUCCCAAAUUGAAGUUCAGAGUCAAUUAGUUAAGUAAUAUGUAAAAAAAAACAAACAAACAAAAAAAAAAACAGGACUUGAGAACUUAGGGGAUGUGAUUCCGAAGUGCCCGAGUGGCAAUGUUUCCUGUGUGUCUGAGGCUCAAAAAUUUCACAUCGAGAGAGGUGCUGGAUUUCAAGUGUUGAGUGACUAUACUUGAAUCACAAGGCAAUUCAUUCCCAGAUCCCAGGUCAUCACAUAUCUCCAGAGAAAUAUAGGAGAUGAAACCAUGGGACGGAUUUACACACUCAAGGGGGCUCAUUUGAGAACUAUCCCAAAUGAGGAUGGGGGAGUAUCCAGGAAUGAUUCCGCAUGAUAUGCGUGCUUUGGCACUAUGAUUUCCUUACCCAAUUCCAAAUCUUGCACAUCAAAACAACAGAAAGACUCAUAAAUGCAGAAAAGCUCAUUAGCUGAAUAGUGGUGGCAGAAAUGAGGACAUAUUUGGCUGGAAAGUGUUUAAAUCCUUGUGAUCUCAGAGCUCAUAAUGUGUACAAACCCAAAGACAUCAUUAACCAUGUACAGAGUUGUGCUUCUGUAGUCCCUUUAACAUUGAACAUGAGAGAACAAGACUCCCUGGAAAUAAACAAAAUCCACCCCUAUGCCCCACACCUAACGUCAGGACAACCAAAAGGCAUGAAUGAAUGUAGAAAGCAAAAGUAUCCCAGAGCUUAACUUCUUGGACCGUGAAUUAUUCUCUAGUGUGUAAGGAAAUUAUAUUCCUGGAGGCAGCCUCUGAGGCAGUUUUAACCUAGAAACUUUUCCAGAAUCUGCCAUAAGCCCCUGCUUUAAGCCAGGGGCUCUAUCUGUUGAGUGUUGCUGCUUCUGCUGCUGUAACAAAUUACCAAAGCUGUAGUAGCUUAAAAUGACACCAAUUUAUUAUCUUAAAGUUAUUAUGGUCUGUAGUUCAAAAUGGGUUGGCAGGAUUGUGUUCCUUCUAGAAAUUCAAGAAGAGAAUCCAAUUCCUUGUCCUUUUCAAUUUCAGGGGGUUUCAUGCAUCCAAUGACUCACAGUCUCUUUCCUCCAUCUCUAAAGACAACAGAGGUUUGAAUUCUUCUGACACUGAAUCACUCUGACCUCUACUUUUCUUUUAACAUUUCUUCUCUGGUCUUAAUCCUGCUGUCUCAAUUUUAUAAAGCCCUUAUGAAUACAUUAGGUCCACUUAUGUAAUACAGGAUAAUCUGUCUAUCUGAAGAUUCUUAAUCACAUCUACAAAGUCCCCUUUUGCCAUGAAAGGUAACUGUGAUGGUUAAUAUUAAGUGUCAACCUGAUUGGAUUGAAGGAUGCAGAGUAUUGUUCCUGGGUAUGUCUGUGAGGGUGUUGCCAAAGGAGAUUAAUAUUUGAGUCAGUGGACUGGGAGAGGCAGACCCACCCCCAAUGUGGGUGGGCACCAUCUGGUCGGCUGCCAGUGCAGCUUGAAAAAGCAGGUGGCUUAAGCUGGCUUUUGCUGAGUCUUCUGGUUUUCAUCUUUCUCCUGUGCUGAAUGCUUCCUGCCCUUGAACAUCAGACUCCAGGUUGUUCAGCCUUUGGAUUCUUGGACUUACACCAGUGGUUUGCCAGGGGCUUUUGUGUCUUUGGCCACAGACUGAAGGCUGCAUUGUCAGCUUCCCUACUUUUGGGGUUUUGGGACUUGGACUGAGCCACUACUGGCUUCCUUGCUCCUCAGCUUACAGACGACCUAACUUGGGACUUCACCUUGUGAUCCUAAAUGAACUACAGACAUCUAUUCCCUUUGUGAUACCUCCUUGGAAUCAAAGUGUGGAGUGUAACAAUGUGCCUCCACACACUCACACUAGUUGAUGCUUCAUCUUGGUGAAAUCAAGUUUUUGGAAUUACCUUUCCUAAGAUCAUUCUAUUCACAGAGAAGGAGCUUAAUGAAACUAUGGUGGAUGUAUUCUAGACAGAAGAAGGAUUAAACCAAGAUAAAAACAAUGUGAAUGAGGAAAGUGGGAGUAACAGGGAUUCCAAGAGAAAGAUUUUCCAUUUGUCAAAAAUGAGGAGUACUAAUCAGUAGUGCUAUGGAAACAAGACACUAACAGUUAUAGUCCGGAAGAAGAGAUGAUAACAUCUGUCCCUAAAAAGAG